GGCGAACCGAGCGAACGUUGUUCGGAAUCACUGGGCUUAAAGGGCGCGUAGGCGGGCUGUCAAGUCUGGGGUGAAAUCCCGCGGCUCAACCGUGGAACUGCCUCAGAUACUGACGGCCUCGAGGGAGAUAGGGGCGAGCGGAACUAAUGGUGGAGCGGUGAAAUGCGUUGAUAUCAUUAGGAACUCCGGUGGCGAAGGCGGCUCGCUGGAUCUUUUCUGACGCUGAGGCGCGAAAGCUAGGGGAGCAAACGGG
rnacentral:rRNA from 1 species